AUUGAACGCUGGCGGCAGGCCUAACACAUGCAAGUCGAACGGUAGCACAGAGAGCUUGCUCUCGGGUGACGAGUGGCGGACGGGUGAGUAAUGUCUGGGAAACUGCCCGAUGGAGGGGGAUAACUACUGGAAACGGUAGCUAAUACCGCAUAACGUCACAAGACCAAAGUGGGGGACCUUCGGGCCUCACACCAUCGGAUGUGCCCAGAUGGGAUUAGCUAGUAGGUGGGGUAAUGGCUCACCUAGGCGACGAUCCCUAGCUGGUCUGAGAGCAUGACCAGCCACACUGGAACUGAGACACGGUCCAGACUCCUACGGGAGGCAGCAGUGGGGAAUAUUGCACAAUGGGCGCAAGCCUGAUGCAGCCAUGCCGCGUGUAUGAAGAAGGCCUUCGGGUUGUAAAGUACUUUCAGCGGGGAGGAAGGCGGUGGAGUUAAUAACUUCACCGAUUGACGUUACCCGCAGAAGAAGCACCGGCUAACUCCGUGCCAGCCGCCGCGGUAA
rnacentral:rRNA from 1 species